rnacentral:rRNA from 1 species
UACGUAGGGACCGAGCGUUGUCCGGAUUCAUUGGGCGUAAAGAGCUCGUAGGCGGCUGUUCAAGUCGAACGUGAAAACUCGGAGCUCAACUCCGAGCCUGCGUUCGAGACUGGAUGGCUAGAGUCUGGUAGGGGGAUCUGGAAUUCCUGGUGUAGCGGUGGAAUGCGCAGAUAUCAGGAAGAACACCCGUGGCGAAGGCGGCUCUCUGGGACGGUACUGACGCUGAGACGCGAAAGCGUGGGGAGCGAACAGG